rnacentral:rRNA from 1 species
UACGUAGGGUGCGAGCGUUGUCCGGAAUUAUUGGGCGUAAAGAGCUCGUAGGCGGUUUGUUGCGUCGGCCGUGAAAGCUUCACGCUUAACGUGGAGCUUGCGGUCGAUACGGGCAGACUUGAGUUCGGUAGGGGAGACUGGAAUUCCUGGUGUAGCGGUGAAAUGCGCAGAUAUCAGGAGGAACACCGGUGGCGAAGGCGGGUCUCUGGGCCGAUACUGACGCUGAGGAGCGAAAGCGUGGGGAGCGAACAGG